rnacentral:rRNA from 1 species
UCCAGUUGAUCCUGCUGGAGAGUACCGCUAUUGGGGUCUGAUUAAGCCAUGCUUGUCUUAGGACCAGACUUGACUGGUCCUGGCAAACAGCUCAGUAACACGUGGACAACCUACCUUAAGGAGGGCGAUAACCUCGGGAAACUGAGGACAAUAGCCCAUAGAUGAACAACCCUGGAAUGGCGUUCAUCAAAAGAUAUUGACUUCAUAGAGACUUUAUCACCCUAAGAUGGGUCUGCGGCGGAUUAGGUUGACGGUAGGGUAAUGGCCUACCGUGCCAGUGAUCCGUACCGGCUAUGAGAGUAGGAGCCGGGAGAUGGAUACUGAGACAAAGAUCCAGGUUCUACGGAAUGCAGCAGGCGCAAAACCUUCGCAAUACGCGAAAGCGUGACGAGGGGACCCCAAGUGCCAGCCUACAAGGUUGGCUUUUCCAUAAUCUAAAAAGUUGCGGGAAUAAAGGCUGGGCAAGACCGGUGCCAGCCUCCGCGGUAACACCGGCAGCCUAAGUGGUACUCGAUUUUAUUUGGCUUAGAGCGUUCGUAGUCGGUUUGAUCAGUCCUCUGUGAAAUCCAGCCGCUUAACGGUUGGGCUUGCAGAGGAUACUGUCAAGCUAGGAGUCGGGAAGGGUUAGGGGUAUUCCCUGGGUAGCGGUGAAAUGCUAUAAUCCUGGGAAGACCACCAGUGGCGAAGGCGCCUAACUAGAACGAGCUCGACGAUGAGGAACGAGAGCUAGGGGAGCGAAAGGGAUUAGAUACCCCUGUAGUCCUAGCCGUAAACGAUGCAGGCUGAGUGUUGCGGAAACCUCGUGUUCCCGCAGUGCUGUAGGGAAACCGUUAAGCCUGCCGCCUGGGGAGUACGGUCGCAAGACUGAAACUUAAAGGAAUUGGCGGGGGAGCACCACAAGGCGUGGAGUCUGCGGUUUAAUCGGAUACAACGCCGAGAAACUUACCAGGGGCGACGGCACUAUGAUGGUCAGUCUGAAGGGCUUACUUGAGGAGCCGAGAGGUAGUGCAUGGCCGUCGUCAGCUCGUACCGUGAGGCGUGCGGUUAAGUCCGUUAACGAGCGAGACCCGUACCCUUAUUUGCCACCUCCUUCCUACGGGAUGGAGAGCACUAUAGGGGGACCGCUGGUGAUGAAUCAGAGGAAGGCGCGGGCAACGGUAGGUCUGUAUGCUCCGAAUCUCCUGGGCUACACGUGGACUACAAUGGCGCAAGCAAUGGGUUGCAACACCGAAAGGCGAAAGCUAAUCUCCUAGAGUGCGUCUAAGUUCGGAUCGAGGGUUGGAACCCACCCUCGUGAAGCUGAAAUGCCUAGUAAUCGCUGUUUACCAUACAGCGGUGAAUAUGUCCCCGCUCCUUGCACACACCGCCCGUCAAACCAACCGAGUGGAUUAAAGGCGAGGUGUCUUCCUUUGGGAGGCCUCGAGUCUUUGGUUCGCAAGGGGGGUUAAGUCGUAACAAGGUA